AUAUUGUAUUCACAUUGAUACUGCAUUAAUGUAGGUAAGAUUAGAACUAUAUGAAUAAAUUAUGUUCGGUGUUAACGUAAAGUAAUUUAUCAAUUUCUUUUGGGAUCUACUAAACCGUUAGGUUAAAGUAUGUUAUCAUUAUGUUGAAAGCGUCCCCUCUCUCUCAUUCUUUAUCUUGAUCUUUUUGAUGCUCGAACAACCCGAUGCCAUUUAUUUAUAGAUAAUCAAUAAACGAGAUUGAUUUUCUCGUCUCAGGCGGGACGGCGAAAGUGAGUAAAGCAAUUGAGUUAACAUGACAAGUGAUAAUUUCAAAUCAACUUAUGAUAAAUACCCCACAUGCAUGGACUGUCUUUUUAAAACUUACAUUUGACUCUGGCGUAGAUAAUUUUGCGACAAGUUGUAUGAUAUUCUGAGACUCCGUCAAGUGUGAGCAACCAAAAGAAAUAGAAUAUAGCUUAUAUUCGAUGUAAUGUUGGUUGAAAAUUUGCUGUUACCGAUUGCAAACAUUUUUUUAUUCAUUUUGAAUGAGUCUUUCGAUCAUUAUCUAUUUUUCAGUACUUUAUACAAUGAAAUAUAUGUUUAUUUUUAUAUACAUAUAUGAAAAAUAAUGUGAUGUUUAUGAUAACAAUUAUUUAUUUUAUUCUAGUUGUUUUUGUAAAAUUUACAAUGCAGAUACAAGUACGAGACUUCACGAUUUUGGAUCAGUUCAAAGUUGUUUUGGCUUGCCUACAUGUGGAUGUCGACGACAUGAAAUGAUAACAUGCGGCGACAAGUGUGAUCAAAGAGUUGCUGGAUGAUUGAAAUAUAACAAAUCAAAAUGCCAGGGUCGAACUAUCAAGAAGCACUAUUAGGCAAGCACAUGUGGAUCACCUACAUUUGGUCAUGAAAGACGACAAUGUUAAAACUACAGUUCGAC
rnacentral:lncRNA from 1 species